rnacentral:lncRNA from 10 species
CGUUCCCCAUUUUGCAGGGAAACCAAGGCCAGUAGAGGUGAAGCGGCAUACCCCAGGUCAUCACUCAGAUCGCUUGCCUCCAAGUCCAAGGCUCUUUCCCCUCCCAAUUCUCCUGAUCUGUGACCUCCUGGGCAUUCUGGCCAAUCUGCUUCCCUCUGACUUUGCAGACUGCACUGAUGGAACUACCACUAAGGCAGGUGUGGAGCCUGCAAUCUCCUGACCAGCUUGUGCUUCUUGGUUCUUAUGCAAGCCAGUUCUCUCUGUGAAAUAUUUCUAAGCAGCCCUCAACCACCAGGUCUAUGAGGGUCCCUGUUGUCCCUCAGCCAAGGCUGCUCUCUCCCCUAGAUCCCCACCUCACCAGGGUCACAAGGAUACACACAACUAUUGCAGGAAACAUAGGUUCUUCCUGCAAUACAAUUAAAGCUGCUAACAUUUACUGAGUACCUACUGGUUGUUGUGAGGAUAUUGAGGUUCAGAAGGGCUAAGUGACUUGCCCAAGGUCAUCCAGUUAAUUGUUAAGGCAGUAUUCAUAACUCGAGCCUGUCAGACUCUAGAAUCCACUUUAUUUUUCCUCUGCUACACUGCCCUGGCUCCCUACCCUACAAGUGCUUAGAGAUCUAAAGCAAAGUAGAAAAGGAAAAGUGAGCAAGACGGAGGGGCUUUUACAUUUUCACUGCCUGGCUCCCAACCCAGACUCUGGCAAGGCUAAUUCCAUGAUGU